UUCUCUUUGAACUGAACUUUAUAAUCCAAAGAUGGCUCUCAGCUGCUGAAUGUCCUGACUUUACCUCCAGUAAAAGAUUUCUUCAGGGAGAUGGAACUUGCUUUGAUCUUGUGUGACAUUUUCCCCAUGGUUCAAGGGGUGUGGCUUUUCGCUUUGCCAGCAGUACAAAGUGUUCACCUGGUGACAAGACCUUUAGGGCAUAUGACUCAGGAAGAAAUCUG